ensembl:snoRNA SNORA71 Small nucleolar RNA SNORA71
CCUUCUAGUGCAGGAGACAGUUGGAUUAUAAAAAGAAUGAAAAUUGCAGGGAGAGGAACUGCGAAAGCAUUUCCCUGUGUUUGGAGGGUCCACCCAUGUCCCUUUCAAACCCUGGUGCUUUCGGACA